UACGAAGGGGGCUAGCGUUGCUCGGAAUCACUGGGCGUAAAGGGUGCGUAGGCGGUUCUUUAAGUCAGGGGUGAAAUCCUGGAGCUCAACUCCAGAACUGCCCUUGAUACUGAGGAUCUUGAGCUCGGGAGAGGUGAGUGGAACUGCGAGUGUAGAGGUGAAAUUCGUAGAUAUUCGCAAGAACACCAGUGGCGAAGGCGGCUCACUGGCCCGAUACUGACGCUGAGGCACGAAAGCGUGGGGAGCAAACAGG
rnacentral:rRNA from 1 species